CUCCUUCUCAGUUAAUUUGGUUAUUAGAGAGGCUGUAGCAGAUGUUAAACCUCUGAGAAGAGCGAUCUGAGGGGGUAGAGAGGUUUUUGUGGAGGAAUCUGAGUGCCCUUACCUGUGCGGUGUGGUUCUGGGAAGGUGAUGAGCUCAAACCUGGGCCUUGUAAAACUCAGGCCUCACUUAACUGUGAAGAUAAGAUCUGGUGGUUGUGCAUGAAGUUGGGCUGCUGGUCUCAGAGGAAUGUGGUGUGUGGAUCCAGCAGUAUGCAGGCAGGGCAGGGCUCCUGCCUGGGGCUGAUGGCUAUUCCCACGUUGGACAUCUUGAUUUGGUGUCAGGGGACCUGCAGACGACUGAUGCUCUCAAGCACAGCUGUAAAAUGGCUUAAUGGCU